ensembl:lncRNA
UGCAGUUGUUGAGAUGUGGUCUGUAAAGGUCAAGCUGUCAUCAAAAGUCACCCCAAGGUUCCUGGCUGUCCUGGUUGGCUUGAGUGUGGUUGAUCCGAGUUGUACAGUGAGGUUGUGGUUGAUUGAGGGGCAGGCUGGGAUGCUCAGAUUUUGCCAAGUUGAGCUUAAGGUGAUUUUCCCUCAUCAAGUUCAAGAUGUCAGACAGGCAAGCAGAGAUUUGUGCUCGGACAGAUGGAUCAUCAGGCUGGAAGGACAAAUAGAGCUGGAUGUCAUCAGCAUAGCAAUGAUAUGAGAAACCUUGAGACUCAAUCACCUGCCCCAGAGAUGUAGUAUAAAUAGAAAAGAACAGUGGACCUAGAACUGACCCCUGAAGAACCCCAGUUGUGAGUUGCUGGGUUUCAGAAAAAAGCUCCCCUCCACAAUACCUUGAAGGAUCUUUCUGAGAAAUAUGAUUCCACCCAGCGCAGAGCCGUUUUGGUGAUGCCUAGGCUAGAGAGAGUUGACCGGAUCUGAUAAUUCACAGUGUCAAAAGCAGCAGAGAGGUCGAGUAAGAUGAGGACAGAUGAUCUUGAGGUUGCUCUUGCUAGUCGAAAGGCUUCAGUGACAGAAAGCAGAGCAGUCUCCAUGGAGUGACUACUUUGAAGCCAGACUGCUUGGUGUCCAGGAUGUUUUUCUGUGUGAGAAAAAUGGAGAGUUGAUUGAAAACAGCUCUUUCAAGGAUUUUGGAAAGAAAAGGGAGGAGGGAAACAGGUCUGUAGUUGUCAACUGCAGCAGGGUUAAGUGAUGUUUUUUUAAGCAGUGGGUUAACCCGGGCCUGCUUAAAUGAGAUAGGGUAUGUGCCAGUAGAGAGGGCUGUAUUAAAGAUGUAUGGGAGUGCAGGUAAUAGGGUGGGAGAGAUGGACUGAAGAAGGUGAGAAGGGAUAGGGUCAAGAGGACAGGUUGAGGGAUGGCUAGAGAGGAGGAGUUUUGAGACAUCAGUCUCUGAGAGAGGAUAGAAGGAGGACAGUUGAGAGUUACAUGGAGGAGGAGCCGGUCUAUAUGUGUCUGUGGUUGAGAACUGGUUCCUGAUUGAUGUAACCUUGUUG